AUUCCACUCAUCGUCGGAUUGUCAGUCGGUGGCUUUUCUUCAUCAUCGUUGUCAUCGCUCCUCAUAUGUGCCUGUGUGAAGUCAGGAAAUAGAUCAGGCCGCGUCAUUGGCGUCCAAAGCAGACUUGGAACUGCGAUGGUGUCCACAACAGUCGCGUCUUCCCAACAAGGUGGAUAUCAAGGCCAGGUACCACAACCCCAACAUACAACGCUUAUCCUCCUCCGGGGUACCCCUCCACCGUGUACCCCAACGUGUACCCCCUCCUCCACAAAACAAUGCACCACCACCUGUCACACAACCCUAAACUCUUUCAACAAUUGGUUGCCGUGCCAACAGGUACAGCGCGGAUCAUUUGAAUCAAUUAUGCUUUUACAAGUGAAUAAUUUAUCUCUGGUUUUCCAACGAAACAAUUGUUUGCUGUAAAUGCCAUGUGGAACCUUAUCAGCCUCUACCUAUUUCCGCUGCCUGGCUGUGCUUUCUGAGUUUGCCUUUGCCAUCUGACCUAGGAAACACCAAAUCUACCAAAGACCUAAUCAUGUUUCUCCUUAAAAUGCACAUCGCAAAACCAUUUACGUCUCUUGGAAUUACCUUCCAACACAACAAGGCAGAAAUGGUUCAUCGAAACUAUACAGAUAAAUUAUAGAUCUUAUACCAAACAAUGACUAUGUGAUCCCGACGGGACCAGGCACCAUUCGGCAGAAUAGCAGUCCUUAAGAGUUUGAUUUUACUUUCCCUAAACCAUCCUUUCACCAUGCAUCCUAAACCAAAAUGAAUAUAGUAGAUGAUCUACAAAGACGAUGUUUUGAGGUGUCUGUGAGAAGGAUAACGCCGAUAAAAGUAAACGUAAUACUGCAAUACAGACAUAUGGAAAUGAAGGACUUAAUUGUACCCCUCAUUUUGGAAACAAUAGUCUCAAAAGAUCUCUUGAGAUCUCUUCUUCUAAGAAGAACACAUGCAAUCGGUACAAAAAUAAAACCACUCGUAGAUAUUAACAUUCCAACAGAAACUUUGUUUCCAACCGAGAUGGGAAAUAACUAUCUGCGCAAUUUUAUUGUUCCCAAAAUACCUAAUCCUUUUUGGCGUGAUGUCUAUGAAGCAUGGUCAAACUUACAAUAGCUACAAGAACACGAUAUGACAGAUACACCAGAACAAUUUAUAUGGGCAAAUGACAAUAAAACUAUUGCUAAGAAACCUAUAAUAUAUAGACACUAUUUAAAUGUUAAAUUCAUCAAUGAUUUACUCAAGUGUAACGGUACUUUUUUAAAGAUUAAUUUACAACUGAAUACAACGUAAAGACAAUCUUUUUGGAAUAAGCAAGACUUAUCAAUGCAAUUAAAUCGUUCAUCCAUCGCAAUAAAUUAAAACUAAACAAAGUAGAACAACCAUUUAUUCCAUAUAAUUUAAUUAUCUUGUAUACGGGAAAUAAGGGAAGUAAAAUAUUCUAUACUACACCAUCUAAAUUAUAUACUUCGGAAGGCAAAUUACGUAAUCAAAUAAAGUGGGAACGAGAUAUAAAUGAAAUUAUACCAGAAGACCAGUGAAAAAUGUAUAACCACAUACCUUUCAGAGCAACACUUAAAACACAACUUCGAAGGCUACAAUUUAUAAUUAUCCAGAGAAUUCUGACAACAAAUAAAGACCUAUUGAACUAUAAUAUUAUAUCACAUUCAUUGUGUUCUUUCUGUGAUAAGGAAUCAGAAACCAUUAUUCAUAUGUUAUAUGAGUGCAAACAUAUAUUGCUUGGAUAGACAUUCUAACUGUGACAUGAUUAGAACUGAACGUAAAACGCAUUUUUGGGAUAUAACCAGAGAAGAAAUGACGUCUUAAAUCUAAUUUUAAUGUCCACAAAACAAGUCAUCUAUGCAAACAGAUGUUUAAAAUCUAUCCCUACCAUAAACGGACUAAAGCGUCAUCUAAAUAUCUUAUAUCAGAUAGAUAAAUGUGCAGCAUAUUAAAGAUUUUUAGUCUUUUUGGUCUUCAUGCCAUAACCUCUUCAUAUGAUAAAUUUAAAUUACUCUUCAAUCCUUGGUGUCCAUGUAAAAACCCCUUCACCUUAAAGACAUUACCUAAUGGUUGUUGUUUUUCAUUCGACGUUCGCCAAAUGUACAAAUGAAAUAUAUUAUAUACAAUAUUAUAUUAUAUGUAUAUGUGUCCCAAUUGUUCACUUGAUUGUGUCUAUAAUCAUGUUAUACCCUGUACCUUUCAAAAAGUAAUAAAGUGAUAAAAAUCCAAUUUCCGCUUAGGAAUCUACUAAACUAUCAGGAUUUGUGUGUACAUGUAUAUAUGUGGAUGGACGUUCAUAGUGCCAGUGAGCACCUGUUGAUGGAUACCAGGCGCCUAAGUAAUCCAUCAUUAUUAAGUUGCAAAAACAAAUUCUGUAACAAAAAUCUCAAUCCCCUUCACAACACAACACCCUCCUGAACACAAAACCCCAACAGAGCAUUAUUUGGACAGCAUUGUGACAAAUUCGGUCUUUCGACCACACUGAAAGCAUAUAGAAAAUGUAACUCUAUUUUUCUAUAAGUAGUGACCGUUUGCAAAGUGAAUGAAAUUACCUUUGUUUGCUCGUUGAUACAUUUUACCUCUGUCAAGGACUGUUCGUUUGUAUUCUUCAUAGUCAUUACCUCCAAUCAUACUAAAAUCCGACCAAUGUAUAUAUGGUAUUAUCCUGUAUCUACUUUUAUAUUAGUCAAAGUUCCACUAUUAUAACGAGCAAAUACUAAUUAUACUGAUGGUUUGUUCUCUCCUAUUUUUCAUGAAUAAACACUGUUUGCUGUU